GAUGAACGCUGGCGGCGUGCCUAAUACAUGCAAGUCGAGCGAACAGACGAGGAGCUUGCUCCUCUGACGUUAGCGGCGGACGGGUGAGUAACACGUGGAUAACCUACCUAUAAGACUGGGAUAACUUCGGGAAACCGGAGCUAAUACCGGAUAAUAUAUUGAACCGCAUGGUUCAAUAGUGAAAGACGGUUUUGCUGUCACUUAUAGAUGGAUCCGCGCCGCAUUAUCUAGUUGGUAAGGUAACGGCUUACCAAAGCAACGAUGGGUAGCCGACCUGAGAGGGUGAUCGGCAGACGUGGAACAGUAACACGAUCCAGCCUGAUACGGAGGGACUAAGCAGGGUAACUGCGGCGAUGGGCGACACCAAGAGGGAAAAACGCCGCGGGAGGGAGAAGGGUAUUGGGACGAUAAAACUGUGUAAUUAGGAAAGCACAAAUGUGGACGAACAUAAGCAAGUCUUGAGGGUACAAAAUAGGAAAGCAAAGGAUAACAAGGCG
rnacentral:rRNA from 1 species